GGUCGGGUCCCAUGCAAGCGUUGGGCGUGAAUCUGGUCAGGCGGGGAACCGAGCAGCCAUAAGCGUUACCGGUGUUGUGCGUGGUCAACCCGGCCACC
rnacentral:SRP_RNA from 1 species